GCAUUGAUAGUGUAGCGGUUAUCAUCGAGUCUUCCCAUGUAGCCUACAAUGGCAUACGGGACUUGGCUUGGACCCGGGUUCGACUCCCGGUCAAUGCA